UACGUAGGUGGCAAGCGUUGUCCGGAAUUAUUGGGCGUAAAGCGCGCGCAGGCGGUCCUUUAAGUCUGAUGUGAAAGCCCACGGCUCAACCGUGGAGGGUCAUUGGAAACUGGGGGACUUGAGUGCAGAAGAGGAAAGUGGAAUUCCACGUGUAGCGGUGAAAUGCGUAGAGAUGUGGAGGAACACCAGUGGCGAAGGCGACUUCUGGUCUGUAACUGACGCUGAGGCGCGAAAGCGUGGGGAGCAAACAGG
rnacentral:rRNA from 1 species